rnacentral:lncRNA from 1 species
CCGGGUCGCACAGCCAGGCGGCACCCGGGGGAAGAGGACCCGGCUGGCCGAAGAGGAGACCCGUUUCCUCUGACUGAGAGACGUGGCUGGGGGGCUUUCCAUCUGCUUCGCCUCCCUCGGGCAGGCAGCUCUGAGAUGCCCGGAGGGAUGUGAUGCCCCAUCGCCAAAUUGGGGUCUCUAAGCUAUGAAAUGGCCACCUCACGGGGCAUCAUGGGAAUCAAAGUGUCUGCAGGCAAAGCUCAUAACUCCGAGCGGGAGCCUCCAAACAGCAGCAUCCUAGCAGGGUGGCGUGCACGUACCUUGCUGAUGUCAGGGGACCUGGAACGACCACCCUCUGCAUCGCCGAAGGCUUUGGUGAUAGCGAACUGGAUGGCCAGGCCGGUCAUGGUGCCUGUGGACAGCGGCUGGAUACGGCGCACAGCCUGCAGCAGUGCGGCCUUGGAGACAUGAGCCCGCAGCGAGAACUCCUGCUUCACGGUGCUGGCAUAGUUGACCAUGCCCACCCGGGUGGCAUUGGGCCCCACGUCCAGCGACUCGAUGACCUGGGACAGGAAUACCUUCACUUUCUCAAAUUCAACAGGCCGAACGCUGCGAGAGCUGUCGACAACAAACACCAGGGUCACACAAGGGCCAUCCACGGUGACCAGCGGUGAGAAACGCAAUGCUGUCCUCGUGCCAUGCUGGAGGUGAACGAGGAGAACGUGAGCUGGGGUCUCCUCACCAACUGCUCCCCCCACCCCAACCCCCCUGACGGCCAGGGCUGUGUCCAGGGCUCAGGGCACAAGGCUCCGUUAGCUGGGCAGCAGCUGGCCCAUGAAACAGCCCUUUCAGCUCCACCUCUGAAUGGCAGUUCUAUGGGCUCCUCGGAAGAACACAGGCGCCUUCUCUGUGUCACUUCUCCGCUCAUUAGCAGAGCUGCAGAAAUA